GAUGAAGAACGCAGCGAAAUGCGAUACUUGGUGUGAAUUGCAGAAUCCCGUGAACCAUCGAGUCUUUGAACGCAAGUUGCGCCUCAAGCCAUUAGGUUGAGGGCACGUCUGCCUGGGCGUCACAUAUCGUUGCCUGAUGCCAGUUUCCUCGUGAUGGGUGACUGUGCAGGGCGAAUGAUGGCUUCCCGUGAGCAUUGUUGCCUCAUGGUUGGUUGAAAAUUGAGUCCUUGGUAGGGAGCGCCGUGAUAGAUGGUGGUUGAGUGACGAACGAGACCCAAUCAUGUGAGACCCCUACCGAAUUUGGCCUUCACGACCCACAUGCGUCUUUGGAACGCUCAUGACGAGACCUCAGGUCAGGCGGGGCUACCCGCUGAGUUUAAGCAUAUCAAUAAGCGGAGGA
rnacentral:misc_RNA from 1 species